UGGAAAAUGUUCGCGUCGCAAGUUCUGCGUUUUGCUCUCGCUUUCUCGAAAUCAAUUUUAAGUUAUGAUUAGUGAAGUUUUUCGGUUAAGUUACAAUGAAGAUUAAUUAAGAAAGGCUUUCUUUUCGGUUUAUCAUCUCUAAGCUUAGCUUUUGAAUUGCGUUCGGGCGUUUUCGAGUUUCGAUUUGUUGGGAUUUUUAGAAGCUGAAAAUUGAGUGCGCACAAGUGCUGAAGAUAGGCCCGCAGACAUGUUUUUAUUUCUAAUGAUUAUUCCGGCAAUUUUCACGAAUGACCUUUUUACUACUUAUGCGGAUUUUGUUGAAGUUUGCGGGCACGGAGUUGUUCAGUGAUAAGUGGAUUUUUGUAUUGCUUGAAUCUAGCUGAAAAUUAUGGUUAAGUAAAGUAGAGUUAAUUUUAGCUCGAAAAAGCGCUAGACUAGCAGGAAUAGAAAGGUUUAACAAAAGUUGCACAAAAGAUAUCGGUUCAGAAGUGUUUGUGUGUAACAAUGGGAAAAAUUGAACGUGUGUGAGUGCGAACGCGUUUACCUUUGCAUUUUGAUUGUCAGAAGAGGACAAACGCACAGGAUCAUCGAAAAGGAUAAUCGAAUAUCGUACACAAAUAGAGGGCUGCCAGAAGUGUAAAUCUCGGGGAAUUGCUUAGUAGGAAGUGUCUCGUCAGCUUGAGAAGCAUAUACUAGAUCGAGCAGAUCAAUCCCGAGGGGAAUUACAUUGGGACGGAUCUAACUGGGAGCCUGGCCUAGUGUAGUGAAAUUCAAAUGCCGGCACAAGGGAAAAUAAUCGUUUCGUGAGAAUGCUAGAGUCUCUUUAGUGCGCCCUAUAAACAAGCAGAAAGUUUGAAAAAGUGAAGAGCAAACAACGGUUUUGAUAGUUUGCAGUGUUUCGUGGCACAGAGCAGUAGCAGUGGAAAUCAAAUACUUGGGUGGGGAAAUGCUUUUUUUUGUCCAAAAUAGCCAAGACAAACCAACCGUACAAGAUGGAAAUCGUGUGUCUAUCAUCUCGUCAAAUUGAGGGUUUCUUUAUCGACUCGUGCAUAGAAGGAAAAGCAAUUUGAUCGAUUUCACGGAUUUACGCGGAAGAAAGUUUAUUGCCCGAAAAAUAUCUACCGUGUUUGUGUCCCAAGUUCGACCCAGGAGUAACGAAAUAUGGAAAUCGCAAUUGAGCCCAGUGGGGGAGGUGCCACAAUUGGCACUCUCUUUCAACAAAUAGUAAAUGAUAUGAAGAAUUCUAGUCCACUUUGGGAAGACUUUAUCGCAAAAGCUACUAAACUGCACACUUGUUUACGCGCUGUUAUACAAGCACUGGCGGCCUAUUUGGAAGCGUUUCAAAAAAUCGCCGAUGCAGCAACGAACUCCAAAGGUGCCACAAAAGAAAUUGGCACAGCCCUAACGAGGGUUUGCCUACGGCACAAGGCAGUCGAAACACGAAUGAAAACAUUCACGGCCGCCAUAAUGGAAUGCCUCAUAGUGCCGCUGCAGGAAAAACUAGAAGACUGGAGAAAGCAAGUGGCCAUUAUCGAUAAAGACCAUACCAAAGAAUACAAGCGAUGUCGGACGGAACUCAAAAAACGUUCUAGCGAUACGCUGCGAUUGCAAAAGAAGGCCAAAAAGGGUCAAACAGACAAUUUGCAUAUUUUGGUAGAAUCUUCCAUGCAGGACGUAACAUUGAGAAGGAGUGAACUGGAGGAGGUCGAAAGGAAAUCACUACGAGCCAUCAUGGUUGAAGAGCGCUCGCGAUAUUGCACCUUUGUAAAUAUGCUACAGCCUGUGGUACAUGAUGAAUGUGAAGUGAUGUCGGAACUCAGUCAUCUACAAGAAGCCAUGCAAAUAAUAGCGGUAGUAACGAAAGAUCCGAGUAUCCUGCCACAAGCAUCGGAAGAGCUUAUAUUAGAUGCGAAAACGAAUAUAACGCUGUACCCAGAUUCACCGGGUGGCUCAAACUCGCAAGGUGGUUGUUCGAAUUCACUAGGCUCACGUAAAAGUUCUGUGUGUUCAAUAAGCUCCAUUAAUAGUAGCAGCAGUGGAUCUCCCGGACACCAGUUCCAAAGAUCUCUGUCGCAGUAUUCUCCAGCGAUACGUUUAAAACCGGGUGAAUCUAGUGAUAGCGGAUUUUGUUCAUCGCCAGCAUUAACUUCGCAGGCGUCUACACUUGCCGGCCAAUCCCACGCAAUAUCAACUUGGCCACCCCAUACACAAGAUGGCACUGCCAGCACCGAUCGACCGCACACGAUAUCUUCGGCAUACGAAAAAGGACAUCAGAGACCCGCACUAACUGUUUACACCUUUCAAAAUCCAGAAACAAUAGCGGAGAACCAAAAAUCUCCUGCAAACAUAUCGUGUAGGCCUCCAUUACCUGUGAGAUGUUCUUCACUAGAAAGACCCCUAUCGACAGCGUCCAUAAAGAAUUCAGUAUCGAACGUCCCACGACAAUGCCCAUCGCCAAUACCUGCACAUAUUACCAAAGAGCACCCACAACUACAGCCCACCUACGUCAAUAUGACAGAACUGGCAUCGAUGGCUGCCUCGAAAAUUACUAACAAUAAUAACAACAAUGCAACUAACCUGCCCCAAACAUCUGCUCAAACACCACCACUUCAACCACAGCUUAUGGGUUACCAGCAACUCCAGCAACCGAACUCACCGGCUCUUUCGUCCGCGUCAUCACUUAUUUCACCAGAUUCAAGUGCCACUAACGCAAUUAGCUCACCUGAUGUGUCCGCUUGCAGCACACAGACACCACAGAACACACCACAAACGGGUUCCCCACAAACUCCUGUGUACAGUUGCAGCUCCAUGAUUAUGGUUGAAUCAGGUGCUAUUAGUAGUAGCGGUGAAGGUGCAAGCGCAUCUAAUGGUAACGGAAGUGGACUUGUCCUCACCACCCUCGAUGGAACUGGAAGUGAAAGUAAUAAUGACUACAACCUUCAGUCGUCGUCUGCUACACAAGACUUCGAUAGUAACUCAUCUGAUCCAUCUAAUACUAACAAACCAUCUCCAUCCACCACAGAUAAAGAUAUCCUUAAAUGUUCCGGUUCAGUUUUAGAGAAAACAUCGAUGUUCGAGCAACAAAUCAAUAAUCAACAACAUCAACCUCCACGCAAUGAGAACAUAUAUGGUCGCAAAAGUGAAGAAAUCUACAGACCGACUGGUAUUUUAACACCACAACGUGAAUCAGAUCGGAUCGACAAAGAGACAAUUGAAGAACUGAACAAUCUCAUUGGUGAACUCGAUCUUUUCCAAAAAGAACACGAAUUUCGUCUCGAAGAAAGCUACCAGGACCAGAAUGUUUUGCUGGAAAACAGUAUCAACAGCUCCACAAACAUCGCCAAUGGAAAUUUUUCAUCAAACAAUAGCGACUCUGCUGGCAGUGAACGACAGGAUAAAAUUUCUAUCUCUAGUUCCAUGAACAUCGAUGGUCUUAACCUUUCGCUGAACAGCAACAGUGUCAAUAGCGAGCAUCCCUUCGAGUACAGCGAUAGUAGCACCACUAAACUCAAUAUGAAUGACCACUUGAUGAACACAGACUCGAUAGACUAUUCGCAUGCAGGCUUCGAGAAUCCAUCGUUCAUGCAUUUGAACGAUUCUGAAAUUAUUGUGGUCCGUCCAAACAACUUCGGUAACGUAGAUAUGGAGAACUAUAGCAAAAAUAUGAGUGAAGUUGUCGUUUUACGCUGCAAAGACGGUGCUAAGGUUGAUUCCAAUAAAAUUGAAGAAACUAUCAAUUCAGAAAAUCAACAACGGUUAAGCUCGUUCAAGCUAAAUUCGAGAUGCGCUUCACCAGCAUUGUCAACAUUCGCAUCCCGAUCACCAACACCGUCGUUUUCGAUGCCACAUUCUAGUGCUACUACACCUACGAUGCCGUCACCUCAACAUAGUAAUGCGUUUGGUGGAAACAACAAUAACCACAUGAUUAGUCAUCAUCAUCUGCAGCAUCCUUUGAACGGUAACGAGAAAUGCUCGUUGAUCUCAAUGCCUUCUGAUGAGCGUAUUAAUAGAAUUAAGCCUGCAAUCACGCCGCGACCUGCAUCAUUAUCUGGAGUAGCAAGAGUUACCAGACGAUCAUCUGUAAAUACUAUUAAACCACCUCCUCCUGUUCGGCGAAGUUCGAGCGUUACUCCUAGUCCCAAUCUGGUAACGAAUGCUAGUAACUUAUCGCAACAAAGCUUGGUUUACACAUCAUCGGAAAGUUUACCACCACCUCCUGCCUACCUGUUGGAUAGUACUGCUGGAAAUACUUUAAUUCCAGGAAAUGUAGCGGGUACUGUAAAGGCAUUAAACGAAAUCCAGCAUAAACCGGCUAGUCCAAGUCUGUUAAGGCGUGCUCAGCAAAAUAUGCCAUCACAACACCAAUCUCCGUCGCAUUAUGCAUCUAAUGCUCAAAUUGCCACGCCAAAGCAUGAUUCACACACGCCUUAUUCUACUCAAUCGCCGACGGGUUCCUUUUAUUCUGCUGAAGAUAGUCCCCCUAUGACUCGUGGAGCGAAAACAUCUCCUCACCAACAGGGCAUUUACGCACAACCUAAACAAAUUACGAAUAUGUCCAGUUUCAGAACGAGUAGUCCUGGUCCACAGAAACAAAAUAGUGAAUUCCUAGCUCAAUUGAACGCAAAAAUUGCACCGAGCAAACCGCAAUCUCAUUCCUCUCCUCACCAUUAUUCACAACAGCAACAUCAGCAGUCAUUCACGUAUACCACUGCUCCGUCAAACGAACAAAUUUAUCAGAGAAGUAAUCUGGUAGAUCAACGUUCUUCCUAUACCAACAACAAUAGUGGCAAUGAACGGCAUCAAGCAUCUUCCCAUGGUGGUGGCAUCUAUGCGUCCAGUAGUCAGCAAAUCACCGCCAAUAAUCAUCAACAACUUCAGCAACACCAACAGUACUAUCAUCAGCAGCAACAAGGCUCAGCGCAUAGUCAAAAAGACGGUAAAAAUCAAAUUUACUCUCCCACUCAUUCCCAACAACAGCAGCAAUACUACCACCAACAACAGCAGCAGCAUCAACAUCAGCAGCAACAGGCUCCAGCUGUGCCAUGUUACUAUCAAGCGCAGCCCCCGCAGAACUACGCAGCGCAAAACAUUUACAUUUCAACGAAUCCUUUCGCUACUGGCAGUUCGGUACACGCUGCUGCCAGCAGUAGUAAUAGUAGUAGUUAUUCGCCAUCAUCGUUCGGCAAAUCCGUAGCGCCGCCGCGAGAAAUGUCUCUGCCCGCUGCCUCUGCUAGUUCAAACUCUAGUAAUCCAGGGGGUAGUAGUAAUCUUACUACCGGUCAAAGCAAUUCUCACCACGGUGGUUCCAACAGUCGAUCAAAUCACCAAACACGCAGCAGCAAUGCGGGUAAUGCCAACAACGUACUUGCCAAAACUAGUGCUGGAUUUUUAGAGAAUCUCAAUGCCCGAUUAGCUGAACAAAGAUUAUCCGGUAAAGCAUUUGCUGUAAGGAAUCUCAUCAACAGCAAAGCCCUGGCUAACGAGCAUUGCCAUAAGUACUUCCAGAAUGUUUGAUAUAUGGAUGAGCAUUGUCAAUUAUUAAGUUAGAGCGUGAACGAUUCUUUUUCGAUAACUUUAGGUCCGUCGAAGCCUGAUCCACGUUUAUGCCAUGAAUCACUGAUGGAUCAAAUCAAACGAGGCGCCACCCUGAAACGAAAUCGAACCAUCAACGACCGAAGUGCACCGAAAAUUCAUUAACUGUCGAAGCCGUCUUCAAAUUACUUGCAGGUGUAGCGUGUGUGUUUCUCUGUAGGCAACUUAAUUCCGGUUCCUGAAAGUAUCAAGCUUAUACAUUUAACCAAUAACAUCAGCAUCAGUGCAUAUAUACAUAUACUUUACAUAUAUACAGGAAGGAGUGGAUAACAAAACACAUCCAAUGUGAUUCUAUGGGUAUGAGAGUGAUCUGAACAGAGUGAAUGAAUCGUGGCUCCUAGGGCAAAAAGCAGCUUCCUUUAAAUUUAACAAUGGCGAACUUUUAUCAGCUGGUAUGAACAGUAUGGUUUUCCAAUGUUUUCCCUUAUUCAAAUGUUAUUUACAAAAAUUGGACUUUAUUAUUCGCUAGUCGAAGUUGAAAUAAGACUAAAAAAUAAUCAAAAUAUAACUCGAGUUUAAUUUACUAAAAUAUUUAAUAAAUAACCGCUUCUGUAGCAGUAGUUUGAAGUCUUCUCUCGGGAAAAAAUUGUUAUCCUGGAAAUUCAAAUAAAGUAAAUUCUAAUGCCGGUGAUAAUUUUUUUUAGCUUAGAAAGAUUACCAUACAUCAACAUCAUUGAAAGUAAUAAUUAUAAACUGUUUAUUUAUGACUCUCAUUCAUGAUGGUUCUUUUGUUUCGAAAGAAUGAAAAAGAUUGUAGAAUUCCAUUUGAUACAUAGUAUUUUUGCCCAGGGUGACAAUUUUUGUACGUUUCCAUCGAACUGAGUGAAGACUUAACAUAAUACUAAACAAUUAUGUAAUGCAAAAAAAAAUCCCGGCUUAGUAAACCCAUUAUAUUUCUCUGUCUGCAUCUGCAUCACAAUUACGGUUUUACCCGAUCUAUCACAAUUUUCUCAUUUUCGUACAGCUAGUGCAUUUGAGAGCACGCCUUUUGGGCUCACGACAGAGCAUCAGUUUUAGAGUAGCUAUGAAUCAUGUACUCAAGAAAUUAUACCAAAGCAAAUAUUAAUCAUUUACAAAACACACUUUUACAAACAUUUUACUUUAAAAUACUAUACUUACAUCAAUUGGUUGUUGCUUCAAAACAUCUACAAGAGAAUCGACUAAAAUAUCAUUUUCCUGGAAUAACGCAAAGCACUGAGAAAAAUAUAUCUCCUUUAGGAGCUGUUUUAAUAUCUUUCAACAAAGAAAUCGCAACCAAUAUAUCAAUUAUCAUACAUGGUACUGAUGUUAUUAUACACAAAAACAGCUGAUAUCUACCUAUAUACAUAAUAUAUAAAUUGAUUAAACUGCAGGUUUACACGUUAUUAUUGAAUAAAACGGUAGUAAUAUUUGACAUCGACAAAUACGGAAGGUCAAGUUAAUGCAUUGUAUGUCGUCCAUUUAAAAUUAGACAACGUAUUACUAAGCAGUAUGUAGAACGCUCAAUCGAAAAUAAAACAUGUAACAAAUUCCCUAUUUUCGCCCUUAUACAUAGAAAAGGGAUUUGAAAGGCUGAUUUUAACAACAUUCUAUAGAAAUUUACCAAGUGCUGUAUAGAACAAAUGUAAUCCUGUCUAUUAAAUCUUGAACCACCAUUCUCUUGAGCACAAACCAUAUACUUAUCAAUUUUUCAAGCAACAUUCAUCAGCCUGUAGGAUCUUUAGCUGAUACCAAAUUAUUCUUUUAAAAUAUCUAUUUGAUGAAAAGGAAAAUCACAGCUUUUCUUUUUGUUCUACGGUACCAGUGAAGUUUUAUCGGAAGAGGCUAAACUGAUCAGCACAUAUUUUUAUUUUGAUAACAAGUAUUUAUUUAAUUUAUUAUCGAAAUAUGACAAACUUGCAAAAACAAAUACUAGACGCAAUUCUUUUUUAAAUUCUUUUUAAACUGCGCGUGUGAACUCUUGUAUAUACUCCAUUCAAAGUUAAAUUAAAUUAGUUUGUAACUUAUUUGAUCACAUUCGGUAUAACACACAACCUCGAAUCUAUAUCCUGCGACUAUUUACCGCGAUCCAGGCAUUUCGAUUGCUUAUCUCUAUCGUUACAAUACUGUUGUAGAUCUCCAUGGACGUAAUGUAUUGUCCAUUACAUACGGAUGAUUGCGAAAUAGUGUAGUUCUCAAUCUAAAAAAAAAAAAACUACAAAUGAGAACAGAGAACGUGGAACAAUAAUUAAACUUUGCCGUGCCCGAAACUUCCUGCAUAUAAUAAAUAGCCUAUCAAAAUCACCGACGUAUUCUGCGCGCGAUUGUAGCAUAAAGUAUAUAUUUUUAUACAACGUAUACCGUAGAACAAGCAAGUGUUCCCGGGUAAAGUUACUGUAAUAACUAUGUGAAUUUGGUAACAUUUAAUUUAACAUUCAUUGUAACUCGUCAUGAAAUAUAUUGCUGUAAUCUAACAAAUAAAAAAUAAUAUUACUGACAGAA